UUUCCGUAGGUGAACCUGGGGAAGGAUCAUUAUUGUAUAACCGAGGUGCGUGGGCUGUCGCUGACCCGAAAGGUCGUGCACGCCCGAGUGCCCUCACACACAUCCAUCUCACCCCUAUGUGCACCACCGCGUGGGUCCCCCUUUGGCUUGUUCGGAGGGGGGCUUACGUUUUCACACAAACUUUGUAUGCAGUGUAGAAUGUAUUUUUUGUUUUUGCGAUCACGCAAUCAAUACAACUUUCAACAACGGAUCUCUUGGCUCUC
rnacentral:misc_RNA from 1 species